GAUGAAGAACGUAGCGAAAUGCGAUAAGUAGUGUGAAUUGCAGAAUUCAGUGAAUCAUCGAGUCUUUGAACGCACAUUGCGCCCCCUGGUAUUCCGGGGGGCAUGCCUGUCCGAGCGUCAUUGCUGCCCUCAAGCCCGGCUUGUGUGUUGGGUCUCGUCCCCCUUCCCGGGGGGGCGGGCCCGAAAGGCAGCGGCGGCACCGUGUCCGGUCCUCGAGCGUAUGGGGCUUUGUCACCCGCUCUGUAGGCCCGGCCGGCGCUUGCCGAUCAACCAAAACUUUUUUCCAGGUUGACCUCGGAUCAGGUAGGGAUACCCGCUGAACUUAAGCAUAUCAAUAAGCGGAGGA
rnacentral:misc_RNA from 1 species